UUUCUCUCUAGGUCUCAUGGACUAAUUGGCUUUCGUUCAGCAGGAACCUAACAGACAAGUCCUUCUGCUGUGUAUCAAGACAAUGCUUGGUUGAAACACUUCUGAAAAUGAUCAAAGCUGUGUUGCAAUGUGACAUUGUCAGAGGAGGACAAACAGCUUGAGAAUUUCCUGUUAAUCACAUCACAGCUUGAAGGAAGCCCCUUUCCAUCAAGCGGGACUGCAUGGCCAGCAGUCCCCACUGAAGGGUUGACAAUGAGUGUCCCAGCAGCUCCUAAGAAAUCAUGUUUCAAUCAGUUGCGGGACAACAGAAAUGGUGCCAAGAACAAUAAUGAGAGCAUCCUAAGUCUGGGAGAUACAAAUGCCAAUCAAAUCAUGUUGGAGGUCAGCUCCUCUCAGGGUGAGUCCGAGACACAUGACCUGGUGGAUGAAAUUGGAAAUGCCAAUUCAAGUGGGCCAGAACACCACACCCACUUCCUUAAGGAACCUCACCAAUAUCAGGGCUUUGGGAAAGGACCUCAGGCUGCCUCCACCAGUUUGAAAGAUUUUAAACUUUCUCCGACCAUCCAGAGGGAGCUACAUGAAGAGCACACAAUGGAGAGAAGCACAGAUAUCCUGCAGAACCCUCGGAGUGUGCAGGGACCAAGUCUGUCAAGUUGGAGGACUGUAAUGGGUGAGGCUAGUCUAGAGGUUCUGGCUAAAAGGGAUGUUGAAAUUCCCAGGCACAUUCCCAAGGAUAAGUUGGCAAAGACCCUGGACAAUGAGGAAUUGAAAAGGCAUUCUUUGGAAAGAGCUAGCAGCUCUGCAGCUGCAUUUGGGAGCUUGACUCUGCAGCAUCAGCAGCCUGCACAACUGGAUGCCCUUGAGCCCCGGGGUCAUGUGCCUGGGGGUGGAGAAGGGCCACAGAGGACAUUGACUGAUCACUCUCCAGGGGCAGCUUUCCUUCCAACUGAUAAUACCUCAGAGGGAAAGAGUGUACGUCCUCCUAAACCAUCUACCUCAGAAGCCAAGGAGACCAGUCCCUCAGAGACCCAGACAGAGGGGGCACACAGACUGAAUGUUUGCCACGAGCACGCAUCACGUGCUGCCCAUCCAGACCCUGCUCUGAAUUCAACUUUGUCAUUGAAGGAAAUCUUGAGUUAUCCAGAAGCACAAUUAGGUCAGGGGAAGGGGGAACCAAAGCUGGAACUGAAAUAUGUUCAACCCAGGACCGGGCAGGAGCCAAAGUCGACCCAGGCAGGGGGUCUGGGGUGUCGCAAGGAAGAGAGUGUGUCACACCAAGACAGAAAGGAGUCACGUGGAGAAGCACACAAAGAAGCCAUGUUUGCAGUUAGCAACGCUUCAAAUAGCAGCCAGCACCAUCCUGGAGGGGGAAGAGGCAACAGCCAGGAGAAGACAGGAGUCGGUGCUGGGAUGGAGGAUCUUCUCCAGAUCAGCCCCAAACAGAGUCCUGCUUCCUUGGAAGUGGCUGGAAAUCUUCCCACUGGCAAAGUAUCACCAAGUAUAGGUAAGAAGUUGAAGGAAAUGACAUCCAGCAACUUUUUACCCGGUGAUGGCCACGUAGCUUUUGUUCCUAACGAUCUGACGGACAGCAAGCCCUUGGAUGUCAGCGAGGAGACAAAGAGGAUGGGCAGUGGGAACAGGGAAAGGACCAUGGUGUUGGCCUCAGAUCCUUCUCCCAGAGAGAGCAAAACGGAGUCCCCGAACCCUCAAAGCAGCUGCCUAGAAGCAGGGGGAAAAGAGACCACAGUACCCGUGGUGGAAAAUGGGAACCUUCCGGAAGAUGCAGCCAAGAGUGAAAUCACCCCAUCAAGAGCAGAGUCAAGUCUCAGUACCCCGGCUCCUCUCCACCCAGAGACAACUGUGAACACGACCCACCAGCCCACGCCACCCAGUAGCAGUUUUCAGGACCUUGGUGUGUUCAGUGUGAACGCAGGGUCACCCUCAGCAGUCCCACCCGCCACUGACAGUGUGCGGCUGCUCAACACAUCCCCAAAAGUGCCUGAGAAGAACACCUGCCCCAGUGGGAUCCCUAAGCCUGUUGUUGCACCUUCCAAGGACACACCUUCCUCAGAGGAAGGAAUGGAGAAGCAUCAGGUUGAAAAAACAGAGGAAAGGACAGACAUGAAGCCCGUCAUCGUGCCCAAGCCCAAGCCUGUGAGGCCCAAGAUCAUCACCUACAUCCGGAGGAAUCCACAAGCCCUGGGCCAGGUGGACACUUCACUGGUCCCUGUGGGGCUUCCCUAUGCCCCACCAGCAUGUAGCAUGCCUCUUCCCCAGGAGGACAAGGUGGCAAGUGGAGACCUUAAGCCAUCAGCUAACCUCUAUGAGAAAUUCAAGCCAGACUUGCAGAAGCCAAGGGUCUUCAGUUCUGGACUGAUGGUGUCUGGCAUCAAGCCCCCAGGACAUCACUUCAGUCAAAUAAGUGAAAAGUUUUUGCAGGAGGUAA
rnacentral:lncRNA from 1 species